rnacentral:tRNA from 1 species
GGAAUGGUGGCAGAAUGGUUAUGCAGAUAAUUGCAGAUUAUCCUAUUAAGGUUCAAAUCCUUAUUGUUCCU